rnacentral:rRNA from 1 species
UGGUUAAAAAGCUCGUAGUUGGAUCUCGGCGGACUGAGGGCGGUUUGCUUGCUAGUAUUACUGCCCUAUAGUCCGUAGUUUUGCCAGAGGUUUCGGGGUGCUCUUAAUCGAGUGUCCCGGGAUGCCGGCAGGUUUACUUUGAAAAAAUUAGAGUGCUCAAAGCAGGCUAUUACGCCUGAAUAUUCGUGCAUGGAAUAAUAGAAUAGGAAGUCGUUUCUAUUUUGUUGGUUUUCGGAAAUCGACUUAAUGAUUAAUAGGGACAGUCGGGGGCAUUUGUAUUCAAACGACAGAGGUGAAAUUCUUGGACCGUUUGAAGACAAACUACUGCGAAAGCAUUUGCCAAGAAUGUUUUCAUUAAUCAAGAACGAAAGUUAAAGGUUCGAAGGCGAUUAGAUACCGCCCUAGUUUUAACCAUAAACGAUGCCAGCUAGCGAUCUGCGGACGUUUUUUUUGUAGACUCCGCAGGAAGCUUCCGGGAAACCAAAGCAUUUGGGUUCCAGGGGAAGUAUGGUUGCAAAGCUGAAACUUAAAGGAAUUGACGGAGGGGCACCACCAGGAGUGGAGCCAGUGGCUUAAUUUGACUCAACACGGGAAAUCUCACCAGGCCCGGACACUGGAAGGAUUGACAGAUUGAUAGCUCUUUCUUGAUUCGGUGGGUGGUGGUGCAUGGCCGU